rnacentral:tRNA from 1 species
GGCCAAGUAGCUCAGUCGGUAGAGCAGCGCCCUGAAAAGGCGUGUGUCGACAGUUCAAUUCUGUCCUUGGCCA